rnacentral:misc_RNA from 1 species
GAUGAAGAACGUAGCGAAAUGCGAUAAGUAAUGUGAAUUGCAGAAUUCAGUGAAUCAUCGAAUCUUUGAACGCACAUUGCGCCCCCUGGUAUUCCGGGGGGCAUGCCUGUCCGAGCGUCAUUACAACCCUCAAGCUCAGCUUGGUGUUGGGCCCCGCCGCCCCGGCAGGCCCUAAAGUCAGUGGCGGUGCCGUCCGGCUCCGAGCGUAGUAAUUCUUCUCGCUCUGGAGGUCCGGUCGUGUGCUCGCCAGCAACCCCCAAUUUUUUUCAGGUUGACCUCGGAUCAGGUAGGGAUACCCGCUGAACUUAAGCAUAUCAAUAAGCGGAGGA